UACAGAGGGUGCAAGCGUUAAUCGGAAUUACUGGGCGUAAAGCGUGCGUAGACGGUCAUGUAAGUCGGGUGUGAAAGCCCCGGGCUCAACCUGGGAAUUGCAUUCGAGACUGCAUGGCUAGGAUGCGGAAGAGGGAAGCGGAAUUUCCGGUGUAGCGGUGAAAUGCGUAGAUAUCGGAAGGAACACCAGUGGCGAAGGCGGCUUCCUGGUCCAGCAUCGACGUUCAGGCACGAAAGCGUGGGGAGCAAACAGG
rnacentral:rRNA from 1 species